GUAGGUGGCAAGCGUUGUCCGGAAUUAUUGGGCGUAAAGCGCGCGCAGGCGGUCCUUUAAGUCUGAUGUGAAAGCCCACGGCUCAACCGUGGAGGGUCAUUGGAAACUGGGGGACUUGAGUACAGAAGAGGAAAGCGGAAUUCCAAGUGUAGCGGUGAAAUGCGUAGAGAUUUGAAGGAACACCAGUGGCGAAGGCGGCUUUCUGGUCUGUAACUGACGCUGAGGCGCGAAAGCGUGGGGAGCAAACAGGGAUUAGAUACCCUGGUAGUCCACGCCGUAAACGAUGAGUGCUAAGUGUUAGGGGGGUUUCCGCCCCCUUAGUGCUGCAGCUAACGCAUUAAGCACUCCGCCUGGGGAGUACGGCCGCAAGGCUG
rnacentral:rRNA from 1 species